UAAGGAAGUAAUUGAGCCUCUUAGCAUGCCC
rnacentral:piRNA from 1 species